AUUGUAGUUCUUGUUGCUGUUGCUCAGGGUGAAACUGCGCCCGUAGAACGGAAUUCCAACUACCAGCUUGUUCGCUGGGCAGCCCAUAUCGACCCACAGUUGCAGACCGUCGUUCUGAAUAGUGAUGCGGAGUUGAGAGCGAAAAACGAGGAUCAAAUCAAUAUACACGCCAAAUCACAGGAUGGUUCCGCAGCUCCCAGGAAACUCGGAGGAGACUUUUCGGUUCAGGAAGAGGAACUUGACCGCGGAUACAGUGGACUCAGUGGACUCAGUGGACUCACCUGGUUGACAGCAGCGUAGUUGGAAAAAUCGGCGACGAGGCCGAGGGUGAUCGCAUAUAUACCAAGGUCUCUUGGAGGAGAUGCAGAAUCGACACAUGGAGAAAGGAUAUUGGCGUUGCUCUAAUUGCGCGAAUAGGCAAAUAUCGGAUGAUCAGAGCGACUGCUAGCUUGUUUUCUGCAGUGAGUCAACCUGGAAUGUCUGGCCCAGCCCAAUAGCAUUCCUUGUGGAUUCAAGAGGAGUCGCUAAAUGCUGGCAUUUUCUUCGAGGACCUUACCGGAGGAAGCCCCUGUGGAUCGAAAUCAGUCUUCUUGUCUGCUGGACUCCUGAGCCAUAAUUUCUACAGGACAUGUUUCGCUCCAUCCGUAGAAUUCGCGUCAGUAGAAUUCUGCAAUCUCCUGCUAUUGCUGCAAAGGAUCCUCCUUAUCACUGGCAAGGGCUCUGGAUCCUACAAUGCUGGUCAUCGACGCGCAUGACAAACGGACAAACUGAACGAACCGGUAUUAAUCCAAACUGGAGGACAUCCACCCCGCGAUGCUCGCAAACUUCAGAGUUCACAACGUCUUCGCAACGACUUGAAUUGU